UACGUGGGGUGCAAACGUUGCUCGGAAUUACUGGGCGUAAAGCGCGUGUAGGCUGCUUCGCAAGUCGGAUGUGAAAGCCCUGGGCUCAACCCAGGAAGUGCAUUCGAAACUGCAGAGCUGGAGUCCUGGAGAGGAAGGCGGAAUUCUCGGUGUAGAGGUGAAAUUCGUAGAUAUCGAGAGGAACACCGGUGGCGAAGGCGGCCUUCUGGACAGUGACUGACGCUGAGACGCGAAAGCGUGGGGAGCAAACAGG
rnacentral:rRNA from 1 species